GGGGACGUACCUCAGCGAUAGAGCAUGCACUUAAAAUGCAUAAGGCCUUGGUUCAAUUCCCAGCACCACCA
rnacentral:tRNA from 1 species